CGGGUGAGUAACACGUGGGUGAUCUGCCCUGCACUUCGGGAUAAGCCUGGGAAACUGGGUCUAAUACCGGAUAUGACCACAGGAUGCAUGUUUUGUGGUGGAAAGGUUUACUGGUGCAGGAUGAGCCCGCGGCCUAUCAGCUUGUUGGUGGGGUAAUGGCCUACCAAGGCGACGACGGGUAGCCGGCCUGAGAGGGCGACCGGCCACACUGGGACUGAGACACGGCCCAGACUCCUACGGGAGGCAGCAGUGGGGAAUAUUGCACAAUGGGCGAAAGCCUGAUGCAGCGACGCCGCGUGAGGGAUGACGGCCUUCGGGUUGUAAACCUCUUUCAGCAGGGACGAAGCGCAAGUGACUGUACCUGCAGAAGAAGCACCGGCUAACUACGUGCCAGCAGCCGCGGUAAUACGUAGGGUGCGAGCGUUGUCCGGAAUUACUGGGCGUAAAGAGUUCGUAGGCGGUUUGUCGCGUCGUGUGUGAAAUCCCGCAGCUCAACUGCGGGCUUGCAGGCGAUACGGGCAGACUUGAGUACUGCAGGGGAGACUGGAAUUCCUGGUGUAGCGGUGAAAUGCGCAGAUAUCAGGAGGAACACCGGUGGCGAAGGCGGGUCUCUGGGCAGUAACUGACGCUGAGGAACGAAAGCGUGGGUAGCGAA
rnacentral:rRNA from 1 species